CCUGACGCUGAUGACACACUUGCCCUCACUGAGAGCUUGUCUCCAUAAUGAGAACUAUUUUGUACUCAGUUUUGCUGAGCCGGG